AAAACACUUUUUGGCCAUCAGGCCAUUUUUAUUAAAGAAAUGCCCAUUGGGCUAUGUUCAAAAGAUGGACCAAAAUUGACCCAACAAGAAUAAAAUAAAAACAAAGCAAAUGAAUUCUAUAUCUAAAAGCACUAAAGUGAAAAUUGAAAUGACUCUUGGAACUCUCCAGAACUCCAUGGUCAGCCAUUUCCUCACCGAUUUUUGUCCUGAUUGAUGUUGGGAUCCAUCGUUUGCUACGAUCAGUGAUCCAUAUUAAUUGGAUACUUUAUGUCGAGAUCCUGUGACUAUUGGAUGAGCUCUGUCUGUUGGGGUUUUCCUGUUUUUCAUUGAUUUUUCAGAAGUAGCAUGAACCACCACUUCUAUUUGAGUUGCUUGCUUUUUGUGUUUA